rnacentral:tRNA from 1 species
GGCUUUUUAGCUCAGUUGGUCAGAGCGUCCGGCUCAUAACCGGAAUGUCACAGGUUCGAUCCCUGUAAAAGCCACCA